UACGUAGGGCGCAAGCGUUGUCCGGAAUUAUUGGGCGUAAAGAGCUCGUAGGUGGUUUGUCGCGUCUGCUGUGAAAACCCGAGGCUCAACCUCGGGCCUGCAGUGGGUACGGGCAGACUAGAGUGCGGUAGGGGAGACUGGAAUUCCUGGUGUAGCGGUGGAAUGCGCAGAUAUCAGGAGGAACACCGAUGGCGAAGGCAGGUCUCUGGGCCGCAACUGACGCUGAGGAGCGAAAGCAUGGGUAGCGAACAGGAUUAGAUACCCGU
rnacentral:rRNA from 1 species